AUGGUGAAAUCGAAGGUAGAAUUUGCAGGUCUAGGGUUUCUAUGAAAUCAAGAAGAAGAAGAAGAAGAAGAAGAAAAAAA
rnacentral:sRNA from 1 species